rnacentral:rRNA from 1 species
AGGACGAACGCUGGCGGCGUGCCUAACACAUGCAAGUGGAGCGACGAACCAGGCUUCGGCCUGGGGCAGAGCCGCGAACGGGUGAGUAACACGUGGGUAACCUGCCCUGAUGAUUGGGACAACCCGAGGAAACUCGGGCUAAUACCGAAUGUGCCCUCCGGCCUCAAGGCCGUUGGGGAAAGGAAGCUUCGGCCUCCGCAUCGGGAUGGGCCCGCGGCCCAUUAGCUUGUUGGUGAGGUAACGGCUCACCAAGGCAACGAUGGGUAGCUGGUCUGAGAGGACGAUCAGCCACACUGGGACUGAGACACGGCCCAGACUCCUACGGGAGGCAGCAGUGGGGAAUCUUGCGCAAUGCGCGAAAGCGUGACGCAGCAACGCCGCGUGGGGGAAGAAGGCUUUCGGGUUGUAAACCCCUUUCAGCUGGGACGAAGCUUCUUCGGUGAAUAGCCGAACGGAGUGACGGUACCUUCACAAGAAGCACCGGCUAACUACGUGCCAGCAGCCG